UGUGGUGCACAAAGAAGCGUAACGACAGCACUGAAUGACGGUUAACGGAGCGCAAGCGACGUUCAACAUACAAAGUCAAGCAGUGGAGCGCUUUGGGGUGGGGUGACUGCGUACCUUUUGUAUAAUGGGUCAGCGACUUAUAUUCUGUAGCAAGGUUAACCGAAUAGGGGAGCCGGAGGGAAACCGAGUCUUAACCGGGCGUUAAGUUGCAGGGUAUAGACCCGAAACCCGGUGAUCUAGCCAUGGGCAGGUUGAAGGUUGGGUAACACUAACUGGAGGACCGAACCGACUAAUGUUGAAAAAUUAGCGGAUGACCUGUGGCUGGGGGUGAAAGGCCAAUCAAACCGGGAGAUAGCUGGUUCUCCCCGAAAGCUAUUUAGGUAGCGCCUCGUGAAUUCAUCUCCGGGGGUAGAGCACUGUUUCGGCUAGGGGGCCAUCCCGGCUUACCAACCCGAUGCAAACUGCGAAUACCGGAGAAUGUUAUCACGGGAGACACACGGCGGGUGCUAACGUCCGUCGUGAAGAGGGAAACAACCCAGACCGCCAGCUAAGGUCCCAAAGUCAUGGUUAAGUGGGAAACGAUGUGGGAAGGCCCAGACAGCCAGGAUGUUGGCUUAGAAGCAGCCAUCAUUUAAAGAAAGCGUAAUAGCUCACUGGUCGAGUCGGCCUGCGCGGAAGAUGUAACGGGGCUAAACCAUGCACCGAAGCUGCGGCAGCGACGCUUAUGCGUUGUUGGGUAGGGGAGCGUUCUGUAAGCCUGUGAAGGUGGCCUGUGAGGGUUGCUGGAGGUAUCAGAAGUGCGAAUGCUGACAUAAGUAACGAUAAAGCGGGUGAAAAGCCCGCUCGCCGGAAGACCAAGGGUUCCUGUCCAACGUUAAUCGGGGCAGGGUGAGUCGACCCCUAAGGCGAGGCCGAAAGGCGUAGUCGAUGGGAAACGGGUUAAUAUUCCCGUACUUGGUGUUACUGCGAAGGGGGGACGGAGAAGGCUAUGUUGGCCGGGCGACGGUUGUCCCGGUUUAAGCGUGUAGGUGUGUGUUCCAGGUAAAUCCGGUUCACUUUAACACUGAGGCGUGAUGACGAGGCACUACGGUGCUGAAGCAACAAAUGCCCUGCUUCCAGGAAAAGCCUCUAAGCAUCAGGUAACAUCAAAUCGUACCCCAAACCGACACAGGUGGUCAGGUAGAGAAUACCAAGGCGCUUGAGAGAACUCGGGUGAAGGAACUAGGCAAAAUGGUGCCGUAACUUCGGGAGAAGGCACGCUGACAUGUAGGUGAAGUGAUUUACUCAUGGAGCUGAAGUCAGUCGAAGAUACCAGCUGGCUGCAACUGUUUAUUAAAAACACAGCACUGUGCAAACACGAAAGUGGACGUAUACGGUGUGACGCCUGCCCGGUGCCGGAAGGUUAAUUGAUGGGGUCAGCGCAAGCGAAGCUCCUGAUCGAAGCCCCGGUAAACGGCGGCCGUAACUAUAACGGUCCUAAGGUAGCGAAAUUCCUUGUCGGGUAAGUUCCGACCUGCACGAAUGGCGUAAUGAUGGCCAGGCUGUCUCCACCCGAGACUCAGUGAAAUUGAACUCGCUGUGAAGAUGCAGUGUACCCGCGGCAAGACGGAAAGACCCCGUGAACCUUUACUAUAGCUUGACACUGAACAUUGAGCCUUGAUGUGUAGGAUAGGUGGGAGGCUU
rnacentral:rRNA from 1 species